rnacentral:tRNA from 1 species
GGGGUGAUGGCUCAGUGGUAGAGUGCUUGCCUAGCAUGUGUGAGGCAUUGGGUUCAAUUCUCAUCACUGCA